rnacentral:rRNA from 1 species
UACAGAGGCCUCGAGCGUUAGGCGGAAUCACUGGGCUUAAAGCGUGUGUAGGCGGACUUCUAAGUGCCUUGUGAAAUCCCACGGCUCACCCGUGGAACGGCUGGGCAUACUGGGAGUCUUGAGCCACCUAGGGGCUGCCGGAACAAAUGGUGGAGCGGUGAAAUGCGUAGAUAUCAGGAGGAACACCGGUGGUGUAAACGGCUUUCUGGACCAUAACUGACGCUGAGGCACGAAAGCGUGGGUAGCAAACAGG